UACGUAGGGUCCGAGCGUUGUCCGGAAUUAUUGGGCGUAAAGGGUGCGUAGGCGGUUUGGUAAGUCUUGUGUGAAAUCUACAGGCUCAACUUGUAGUCUGCACGAGAAACUGCCGGGCUUGAGUGUGGGAGAGGUGAGUGGAAUUCCUGGUGUAGCGGUGAAAUGCGUAGAUAUCAGGAGGAACACCUGUGGCGAAAGCGGCUCACUGGACCAUAACUGACGCUGAUGCACGAAAGCUAGGGGAGCGAACGGG
rnacentral:rRNA from 1 species